GUCAGAAAUUAAGGACACAGUUGGUAGAGCAUGAGACUCUUAAGCUUAGGGUUGUGGGUUCGAGCCCCACAUUGGGCA